rnacentral:rRNA from 1 species
GAUGAACGCUGGCGGCGUGCCUAACACAUGCAAGUCGAACGAAGCACUGGUGCGGAAGCCCUCGGGUGGAAGCGCCGGUGACUGAGUGGCGGACGGGUGAGUAACGCGUGGGGAACCUGCCCUAUACAGGGGGAUAACAGUGGGAAACUGCUGUUAAUACCGCAUAAGCGCACGAGGGCCGCAUGGCCCGGUGUGAAAAACUCCGGUGGUAUAGGAUGGUCCCGCGUCUGAUUAGCCAGUUGGCGGGGUAACGGCCCACCAAAGCGACGAUCAGUAGCCGGCCUGAGAGGGCGACCGGCCACAUUGGGACUGAGACACGGCCCAGACUCC